rnacentral:rRNA from 1 species
CUACGGGGUGCAGCAGUGAGGAAUUUUGCGCAAUGGGGGAAACCCUGACGCAGCAACGCCGCGUGAGCGAAGAAGGCCUUCGGGUCGUAAAGCUCUGUCAAGUGGGAAAAAAAUUCUUUGAUCAAUAGUCAAAGGGCUUGAUGGUACCACUGGAGGAAGCACCGGCUAACUCCGUGCCAGCAGCCGCGGUAAUACGGAGGGUGCAAGCGUUGUUCGGAAUUACUGGGCGUAAAGAGCGUGUAGGCGGUUUGGCAAGUCAGAUGUGAAAGCCCUGGGCUCAACCUGGGAAGUGCAUUUGAAACUGCUUGACUAGAGUAUGGGAGAGGAGAUUGGAAUUCCUGGUGUAGAGGUGAAAUUCGUAGAUAUCAGGAGGAACACCCGUGGCGAAGGCGAUUCUCUGGACCAAUACUGACGCUGAGACGCGAAAGCGUGGGGAGCAAACAGGAUUAGAUACCCCCGUAGUC